rnacentral:lncRNA from 1 species
CAACAUGCUAGGUGUGGGCUGCCGGAAGAGAAUGCUGCUGCCCAAGGGUGAGAUGUAAGAAAGGGAUGGCAGGAGAGGACAGGAAUAACUCCUCAGCCACACAGUUUACUUUCUUCUGACCUUUAUUUUCACUCUGACCUUUUGGUCAAAAGAUACAGGUUUAAGGGGUGGGGGUAGGAUGAUGAGAGGGAAGAGUUCUUCCCCAGGCUUUGUCCGAGUCCCUGGUCAGCACCACAGCAGGCCUUUUACACAGAGGACGGUGCCCUCCAGAAGCCUGGGGGGGCAGCUGACUGUGUGCCAGAAUGUGAGGGAUGAAGCCCAGCCCACAGUGGAGGUGAGGACAGAGGGCUGGCCGAGGCCCACAGCUCCACGGAAGGCCUGGCAGGCAUUCUCACCUCUUUCUCAACUUCCACCCAACCAAGGGAGUAUAAAAUUAUUUACUUUCCCACCCUCGAUUGCUGCUUCCCUCAAACAUACUGGUUGUUUUAUGUCUUCUGGGUGUAGCAGAAUUGGAACACUCUGUCUUGGCAAGUCAUGCCUCCUUGGAGAGCGUUCAGAAGGAGCUGCCCUUUCUGGCCCGGAGCAAACCGAACCUCAGGACACUGUGCUCAGAGAGCUUGUCGCUUGCCCAGUAUCUCACAACAAGGACUCAAACGGAGCUCCCGCUGGCUCCCACCUCCCGGCCUCUGCUCCCUGACACUGGGGAUCCACGACCCCACACCCUCCCAUCUCCUUCCCGGCUCAUCUCCUUCCCAGCUCGUUUCCUCCGGAUGAUAAGAGCUGGGUAAAUGUUUGCCUGAUGAUGAAAGUAGUUUAUCCUUCAGCCAGCACGUCCACUAAAUAGUCUUUGUAUUCAUUUUCCAUUAAAGCUUCUUCUCCCCAAAGCUUAAAAUAGGAUUGGAAAUUUGCUGUGUUUGACCUAUUUUCAC